rnacentral:lncRNA from 1 species
GACAGGCUUAUCUGAUAUCUUGAAGGAAGAAUGACUCCCACUUUUUCCCCUCCUGAGAGCAAUUAAAAGAAGUGGUAACAGAAGAAGAGGAGGAGAAAAAAAUAACGAAAAGGAGGGAAUGGGGUAAUGACUUCUUCCUAAUUCUCAAAUACCUACAUUUUCGUCAAUUCAGGUCCACAGGCUUUCAAUGUGCAGAAAGCAUCUUCCUCUGAUGUUAGCUCCUUGUGAGGAGAGUGGAGGGUUUUUCCAUUACACCAAACACAGAAGAGUAUGAAUCUAUUUGAACUCAAUUCAGGUCAAGUACCCAUCCUGGAUCCUGUUGGAAAUGAGGAGCAUGUAAUGAAUUUGAGCUCAGGCGUUCCUCCUCCCAAGCUAGUCUGGAGAGGAAUAAGGACAAUUACAGGAGAGAUGGCCCAACACGCCCUGCUCCCCUUCUCCUAUCCCCUAUACACCAACAGCCUUCAGUUAAAAUGCAGACAGUUCUGGUAGGGAAUGAGCUGGGACUGAGAUGUGAAAUGACUACCAGCUGAAAGCAGGGUCUAUGUGGAUGUGAUGCUGACGAUGGAGGUGGAGGUCGUCUGCAAGACAUGAACCCACAUCUAAUAAGACCCAGACCAGCACCCACGACCAGGGUGCUCAGUAGCACACCGUAACCUCCCUCUCAGUGGCUUUGGGUAGCCUCAGUUCUUCAACCCGGAGAGGACAUCUGCCCAAACAAUGGUGAGGAGUAGGCAAGACAAUCCAGCAAGAUAAUAACACGGAGUGUCCCCUUCUAGCCCUAAGCUUCUGGAACAACAGAACAGGACUUUAAUCCCAAGGUCCUUUCUCAGAGACCAGUUUUCUAGUUCCCAUUUCUAGCUUAAAGGUUGGUAGACCAGAC